rnacentral:rRNA from 1 species
UAUGGUGAUUAUAGCACCGGGGUCCACCUCUAUCCAUUCCGAACAGAGAAGUUAAGCCCGGUAGCGCUGAUGGUACUGCUGUCAAAGGUGGGAGAGUAAGUCAUUGCCAGCC